rnacentral:lncRNA from 1 species
UUUCUUUCUUUCUUUCUUUCUUUCUUUCUUUCUUUCUUUCUUUCUUUCUUUCUUUCUCUGUGUAGCCCUGGCUGUCUGCCUGCCUCUGCUUCCUGACUGCUGGGAUUAAAAGGGGUACCACCACUACCAGCUGGCUAGUUUCACCCUCUCCUGCUUUUCCUUUUUGGGGAAUUCCCUGAAGCAGGUUAGGUUGGGGGGUAUUGCAAAUUAAGGCUCUAAGUUAAAAUCUUCUAAUGCCGUCCACCAGUGGCAAUGCAGACAAGUUCUGGUCUCAACCGCCCUGAGGUUUGAAACCGGGCUUGGCAUUUGUCAGCUAUGACCCUGAGCGCAGCAUCAUUGUCAAAAGUCACCGUCUCUAACUAGCAGUCUAUCAGAAGAAGCAUCUCUGACAGGGGAACUGUUUGCAAGACCCCAAGAUGCUUUCUGGAGUCCCAGUUGAGGCUCCAGGGGAGGGAAAAGGCCAGCAAACAAAGGUCGUGACACAGAAGGCACCGAGGGGGCCAGUCUAGGAACUAACCAGCUCUUAGCAUUAGUUUAUGACAAGCCUGGGGGAUGGCGCUCUGGGUCACCAUAAAAGAGGCCUCACCUGGGGGAAAAAAAAGACAUCGGGAGUCCCGGUGACCUCUGACACCAUUCUUCCCCCACCCCACCCCCACCCCCAGUCAAGUCACACCCAGUAAGAACAAAUGAGAGGUGUGGAGAGGAAGCCAGCGGCAAGGAAGAGUGGGAGGCCCCCCGCUGAGUUCUCCAAUACAGGCUUGAACCCUGAGGGGAUAACAUUGGUGGGAUUUACAGAAAAUAAAAUAAAGGCCAUUUUAACUUGUUCUUCCAGUUUUUACCCCUCUUCUGUGUUUAAAAAAAAAGUCAUUUAGCUGUUUUAAUGCUCUGGGUUUCUUUCCAUUUAAAGAGACAAUGGCUUUAGGAGAAAUGCUCUCACUAUGGGACCCAGAGCCCUUAAGAAAUGCCCCUUCCCCACGCCCAACACUAGCAAUGUCCUCAUUCCUCUGUCAGAAGGGACAGCUGAGGCCCAGGGCAGAAAGAGACUGGCUUCCGGUAAGGGUAGCACUGGGAUUUGCAGGAAUCCCUGGACUCAGGCAGAGCUUUGGCUGUGGCCAGCUAUGAUUUUUGUAUACAGACCUGACAAGAGUCCCUUCAGGAAAAGUGCCCCAGCUGAGGGGCACAGACCUUCCCACCAGAGUGUGUUUCCUACCUCAAGCUUCUGACAGUGGUAAGGUGGCCGAGCCAGGCCCAGAGAGUGGGCCGUGCUUGCUUCUCAGGUGCUGUCCCAUCUGAUGGCAGUGACCGCUAGCUUUCCUCUCCCUUUGCUUUGGAGUUCUCAAGAACACUCUCUGUGACAGCUGAGGAAUGGUCUGUCCCCACAACUUCAGACUCUUCUCUUCGCCUCCAACCCAAACCUCUUGUGAAGUUUGACUUCAUUCUCUUGGGUUCUCUGAGCUCCUGCUAGGGAACCUGACAAAGCAGGAACAUGAGGUGCCCCAGGAUGCUGCAGGCAGAAAGGGUUCUAGAGUCAGAAUCUUCCUGGAAAUUGAAAGACAGUCCAGCCUUUGGGGUGUCCUGCAAUACCAAACCUGCUUUCUUUAUUUCUUUAAGCCAGAGCUUUGCCUUUAUACCCCACAUACCUAUAAUAACAGAAAGACUUGGUGAUCCUCUUCAGGACAUUUGGGAAAUGCUGUCCUCAACUCUCCACCAAGGCAUGGAAUCGACCCCGUAUUUAUCAAUGGAAGUCCUUCCUAUUUCUCGGAGUUGAAUGACCAGGCUCACGAGAUAAGAUCAGGUCUGAUCAGCCAGUCCUGAGGGAAACGUGUCAUAGAGGAAGAUUUCCCUGAAGAUAUGGUACGAAUGUUAUCAGAAAACAAGAGUUUUUCAGAAUUUUGAGAUGAGGAUAGAAUCUGGUGGGACCAGCAGGCAAGAUUUGACAAAGUCCCCACCUCCACCCUCAAAUGUGCACAGAUGCCCUCCCCGACAACACUUUAGUCAGAGACCAAAGCUGGGCAUGAAAUAUAACAGACAAUAACGGGAGUCCCAGACACAGUGAGCCAAUGAGUGAGAAGCCAUUGGGACAAGCAUCCUUUGGAUGGAUGGAUGGAUGGAUGGAUGGAUGGAUGGAUGGAUGGACUCACUGGACAACAGAAUGGCCUCUAAGCUUUUCCUGAACUCUGUGCUACGUCGUCCUCUGUGACCAAAGGCAGACCUCAUCAGUCUGCUUUUCCUCACUGUCUAGAGGAUGAAGCCCACGCCUGGACUGGUGCGGAUGCUCUGCCAAUGAAGCCGCAGCACCUCCCCCUCUGUCCUCACUCUGAGAGUUCUUUAUUUUCUCCUGUACUCCAGAAUUCCCUCAGAUCACUUCAGGGGAGCCACAAAUUCACUCUGAGGAUUGCCCAGGGUAGUUCUGCACUCUUCUCGCUGGUCGCAGGUACACUUUCUAUUUCUCCUCUCUUCCUGCCUUUUCUGAAUCUACCCCCCUUUGCCUCCCUUCCCCCUCUACUUCCCAGGCUGCUUAAUCAAUCCUGGUACGCUUUCAGGCUCAGCCCAGUCACGCUGUGAAAGGAAAGAGGCCUGGCAUUAAAAGAGGGAAUUCAGAAUGAUUCCAGGCAGGUGAAGGCUAGGGUAGCACACUCCCAAAAUCUCAGCAGUCAGCAAGUUGGAGGAUUGCAAGUUCAAGGCCAGCCUGAGCAGCAAGACUCUCUGAUUUCGACAGUACAUCUACUGGACCUGGGAUGAUACAGAGAUUAGCACAGCCUCUGCGCAAGUAUAACACACACAUCAGGAAAGCUGAAACUUUUGACUGGGCAGUGGUAUCGAAUGCCUUUAACCCCAGCACACAUGAGGCAGAGGCAGGUGGAUCUCUGAGUUCAAGGCCAUCCUGGUUUGCAGAGUGAGUUCCAAGACAGCCAGGGCUAAAUAGUAAGACCCUGUCAAAAAAAAUAAUAAAAAUAAAAGACUACACAAAACC